CACGUAGGCGGAUCAUUAAGUGAGGGGUGAAAUCCCAGGGCUCAACCCUGGAACUGCCUCUCAUACUGGUAGUCUUGAGUUCGAGAGAGGUGAGUGGAAUUCCGAGUGUAGAGGUGAAAUUCGUAGAUAUUCGGAGGAACACCAGUGGCGAAGGCGGCUCACUGGCUCGAUACUGACGCUGAGGUGCGAAAGUGUGGGGAGCAAACAGGAUUAGAUACCCUGGUAGUCC
rnacentral:rRNA from 1 species